rnacentral:lncRNA from 1 species
AUGAAUUCUUGAUAAAAAUGACAAGUAAAGAACAUGGGGAUCCAUAUAUGAUGCUUAGAACCAAUUUGGACCGUUGCUUUCUUUAUCUCUUGCAUUAAGGGGCUCAAAUCCUAGUUGUGGGCUUGGUGGGGCACAAAUGGACAAACAUACUACCUACAAAAGAAACAAAGCUAUACUAGACAUAUUUUUGUAUUUUUGGUUAGUAAAAAAAAGAAAAAAAAGUAUGAUACAAU